rnacentral:rRNA from 1 species
AGUGAACGCUGGCGGUAGGCCUAACACAUGCAAGUCGAACGGCAGCACAGUAAGAGCUUGCUCUUACGGGUGGCGAGUGGCGGACGGGUGAGGAAUACAUCGGAAUCUACUUUUUCGUGGGGGAUAACGUAGGGAAACUUACGCUAAUACCGCAUACGACCUACGGGUGAAAGCAGGGGAUCUUCGGACCUUGCGCGAUUGAAUGAGCCGAUGUCGGAUUAGCUAGUUGGCGGGGUAAAGGCCCACCAAGGCGACGACCCGUAGCUGGUCUGAGAGGAUGAUCAGCCACACUGGAACUGAGACACGGUCCAGACUCCUACAGGAGGCAGCAGUGGGGAAUAUUGGACAAUGGGCGCAAGCCUGAUCCAGCCAUACCGCGUGGGUGAAGAAGGCCUUCGGGUUGUAAAGCCCUUUUGUUGGGAAAGAAAAGCAGCAGGUUAAUACCCCGCUGUUCUGACGGUACCCAAAGAAUAAGCACCGGCUAACUUCGUG